CCAGCGUCAAAAAAUGGCAAGGCGGCGCGGGGCCCGCGGGCCGCGUGUCUGGCCACCUGCCCAGCUGGGCGCGCACGUGGGGCGAAAGAGACGGCCUUGGCCCGGCUCGCUAGGUGCAGGGAGGCGCCGCCGCCUGGGCCGGGCCGUGGGAGAGCCAGCGGGUGAAGGCGUCCAGCGUGCGGGUGUCGGCGCGGUAGUGGCGCUGCGUGAAGCGCAUGAGGUCGGCCCAGGUGAAGUCCGGGUAGCGCCGCGGCGCAGCACUGGCCGGCGGGCGCACCACCCGGUCCUCGCGCGGGCACAGGAAGAAGGCCAGCGACCGCCGCGCCCGCCGCUGGUUCACCACCGCGCGGUGCAGGCAGCUCUUGUACCUCCCGUUCGACAGCGCCUGCAUGGCAUGCGGGUUAGCACAGUGCACAAGAAUCAUCGUGUCGGGCUGUCUCAUUGUUGCGGUGCGCCCGGCGGCGGGCCAGGCCGCGACAACCGGACGCGUGCAAGUGCCUGCCACCCACACGGCCAAGGGCCCGAGCUGUUUGGAGCCCCGGCGUGGUGUGGGCGCCGCGUGCCGGAUCGCCAGCGAAACCGCGACAAAAGUGCAAGCGGAAACGGCGGGGGCAACAGCAGCCACCACGUACCGGUGACCCGAUCCAACCCAACCCGACUCCAACCAACCUUGUACUAUAUACUAUACAUUAUACUCCGCGCGACGGCCCUCCGCGCCCGUGCGGCAUCGCAUAGGGCCGCUCGCGUGGCGCGGCGGAUCAGACGGGAUGGGCGCCGCACCGAGCGUCGGUCUCGGUCGUCGACCCAUUUCUCGGCCAUGGACACCGAGAGGGGGAAACCGACAAGGCCGCGCGCACCUGGACACGGCCACCCGCCGAAAGCGUUGCCCUGCCCGGCACCCAUCGUAUCGUCUCCCCGCCACGUCCCCGUCGACGUCCCCGCCGCCGCGCAAGCCUCUCCGCAACGCUCCAACGCCACAAACCAACAGGGAACUUGCUACCGCUAGCCGACCCCCUCGGUCCGUUCUCUUGUCGCAACUCUCCCCCGGAAGCCUCGAUCGGCCUGGGCGCGGCCGCGGAUAGACUAGAGAGAGCGCGCCGCGGCCGCGUGUACCUGCCGUAGCCCGCCGAGAUAGGAACCAACUCGAACGCAUGUCUCUAUUGCAUUUGCAUCGGCAUCGCUAUGUAUGUACUAGCUACAUGACAUGCCUACGUGUGCGUGCUGUAAUAACCUGCCCGUUUAGGUCCACUAGGAUUCGGGAAAUAACAGCACAGAGAGAGCUCAACUGAAUAUACACACAGGACAAGAGCGGCCAAGGAAAACAGAGGAGCGAGCGCUUUCGUUUCGUUACCAUGAAGGUGUCGCCGAUGUUGAUGACCAUGGCGCCCGGGACGGGCCGGACGGGGCGCCACUCACCGUCCACCAGCACCUCCAGCCCGCCCACGUCGUCCUGCAGGAGGAUGGUGAGCGCCGUGGGGUCGCAGUGCGGGCCCGUGCCCAGCGUGCGCUCCGGCUCCGGGCACGGCGGGUAGUAGUUGCACCGCAUGAUGGACCGGCUGUCCUCGAAGAACUCCCGGUAGUAGCCGCGCAGCUCCACGCCCAGGCUCAGCUCCAGCAGCUCCAUGAUCGUCAGCGACAGCUCCUUCAUCUCCUCGCAGUACCUCUGGUACACCCACCUGCCACACAUGCAUGGGACGGGACGGGGGUUCAUACGUCUCCCGAGUCCCGACUCGACCGCACGCCGACGUGCGGUAAAUGUAAACCGGCGCUCCUUCUUACUACCUUACUUACCCCAUUGGCUCGAAAUCCUGGCCGAGGGUGCCGACGAAGUAGUCCACGACGACAGGCGACGCGGCGCCGUCGUGGUAGCCGAACGACAGGGUCUCCUUCCAGGGGAGCUUGGCCGCGAACCGGUCGGCGUGCGCGCUCGUGUACCCGGACACGGUGCCGGGGACGCGCCGGGCGCGCUGCUUCUCGGCGAGCGGCAGCCGGAAGAAGUCGCUGGCGCCGUCCAGCGCGGCGCGCCCCAGCGCCGCGUCCACGCCGUGCCCGCACACCUGGAAGAACCCGUGCGUCGCGCACGCCGCGGCCACCUGCGCCGCGGCGCGCCGCAGCCCCGCGCGGUCGCCAUUGCGCAGCACGCCCACGUCCACCAUCGGCACCUCCAGCUCCGCGGCCGAGGACGGCCGCGCCUCUUCCUGCGGCCACAGGAAUGGCGCGGGGAUCUUGGGCUCCCGGCGCAGGUCGAACACGGCCGCGCCGGCCUUGCUGGCCGCCGCGUCGGCCUUGUCCUUGCCAGCGGGGAGGUCAAUGCUGGGGCUGGGAGUGGGGGCGCGGAGGAGGAGCGGCGGGGCCGGGCUGGCGUCCAUGGACGUGGCUGCGCGCUUGGCGCUGCUGCUGCUGCUGCUAGGCACAGCUGGCUCUUGUCGUUCCUGCGACACCAUGAGAUGUGCG
rnacentral:misc_RNA from 1 species